rnacentral:siRNA from 1 species
GGUGGUGUCCGGCGUUUCCCAU